CGUAGGUGGCAAGCGUUGUCCGGAUUUACUGGGCGUAAAGCGCGCGCAGGCGGGCUGGUCAGUCUGGGGUGAAAUCUCACGGCUCAACCGUGAGAGGUCCCUGGAUACUGCUAGCCUUGAGGGGCUCAGAGGAGAGUGGAAUUCCGGGUGUAGUGGUGGAAUGCGUAGAUAUCCGGAGGAACACCAGUGGCGAAAGCGGCUCUCUGGGGGCAACCUGACGCUGAGGCGCGAAAGCGUGGGGAGCGAACCGGAUUAGAUACCCGGGUAGUCCACGCCGUAAACGAUGAGUACUAGUUGUCGGGGGUAUCGACCCCCUCGGUAACGAAGCUAACGCGAUAAGUACUCCGCCUGGGGACUACGACCGCAAGGUUA
rnacentral:rRNA from 1 species